GCCAACCUGGAGUAGUGGUUUGAGUCCUGGAUUAGGACUCUGGAGAGCAGGGUUCGAAUCCUGGCUUGGCC